rfam:Paenibacillus sp. MSt1 Contig_72, whole genome shotgun sequence.
UAACCGCGGCUGAGAAGCCGCGUUGAAUCCGCAGGAGUCAGCAGAGGUCAUAGUACGGGAGUACGGGACGCCGGGAACCGGAAGGAC